CAGUAGCCGCGGUAACACGGAGGGUGCAAGCGUUAAUCGGAAUUACUGGGCGUAAAGCGCACGCAGGCGGUCUGACAAGUCAGAUGUGAAAUCCCCGGGCUUAACCUGGGAACUGCAUUUGAAACUGUCAGGCUGGAGUCUUGUAGAGGGGGGUGGAAUUCCAGGUGUAGCGGUGAAAUGCGUAGAGAUCUGGAGGAAUACCGGUGGCGAAGGCGGCCCCCUGGACAAAGACUGACGCUCAGGUGCGAAAGCGUGGGGAGCAAACAGGAUUAGAUACCCCUGUAGUCCCUGUCUCUUAUAU
rnacentral:rRNA from 1 species